AUAUUAUUGCUAUUCGUACCAAAGAAAGCAACUGGGGAAACCCUUAAUUUGUUGCCGAGGAAUGAAAACAUAAAUUGUUUUUUAUUUUGCCUCGGUUCUUGCCGAGGUUUUCUUUUGCAAAA
rfam:Spiroplasma sabaudiense Ar-1343, complete genome.